CCGUCUUUGGAUGCAGCACUGCCACAGGAAGGAACUGAUAUCUGUUGCCAAAAUCUCUGGCUGCAUGGUGAACUUCAUGGAAGUUGAAAUGCCCGUCUAGAGGAAGUGUUUUCAACGAAGGGGUGUUUGGAGAACAAAGUAAAAAUUAUUGCUUCUACCUGGAUGCAUCGGAUGACAGUUGCAUAUCAGAUGACGGAGACCGAAGCCUGCCUUCUGGCCGUGGUGGUGUUCAUUUGAGAUUGGGAGGGAGGAAAGUGAUGGGUCCAUGUGGCACGUGAAGUUGAAAUGGUUUGUGCGUUUUGUGGGGUUGAAAUGCUUUGAUUUGUGUCUGUAUUGGGACCCUUCUGGCUCACUUUGAACGGGCGAAGGAACACUACUCUUCUGCCCAUCAACUGCUACUGCUAAUAUCAAGCCUCCCAGCAAAUGGACAACUUUGAAUGAUUCUCUUGUUUGUAUGUUUUAUUCAGAAAAUAAUUUCCACAAAUCUCUUUUCUCGUUCUGUACAUUCUUGUUUAUUUCUUCCUUCUCGUUAAUUUAUUCGGUCCACAUGCCAAAAAUAGACAGGGAUGUGCAUGGGAUAAAAGCGGCAUGUGGAAAUUAUUUUCCUUUUUCAGCUUUUUCUCUGCAACUUGUGUUUUUGAGCACCAAUUGGAAAUUUGCAUCUCUAUGGGGAGCAAGCAAUAUUCCAUCUCCCCUUUCCCUA